rnacentral:rRNA from 2 species
GACGAACGCUGGCGGCGUGCCUAAUACAUGCAAGUCGAGCGGACUGAUGGGAGCUUGCUCCCUGAGUUAGCGGCGGACGGGUGAGUAACACGUGGGCAACCUGCCUGUAAGACUGGGAUAACUCCGGGAAACCGGGGCUAAUACCGGAUAACCCGUUCCACCUCAUGGUGGAGCGGUAAAAGAUGGCCUCUGGCUAUCACUUACAGAUGGGCCCGCGGCGCAUUAGCUAGUUGGUAAGGUAACGGCUUACCAAGGCGACGAUGCGUAGCCGACCUGAGAGGGUGAUCGGCCACACUGGGACUGAGACACGGCCCAGACUCCUACGGGAGGCAGCAGUAGGGAAUCUUCCGCAAUGGACGAAAGUCUGACGGAGCAACGCCGCGUGAGUGAUGAAGGUUUUCGGAUCGUAAAGCUCUGUUGUUAGGGAAGAACAAGUGCCGUUUGAAUAAGGCGGCACCUUGACGGUACCUAACCAGAAAGCCACGGCUAACUACGUGCCAGCAGCCGCGGUAAUACGUAGGUGGCAAGCGUUGUCCGGAAUUAUUGGGCGUAAAGCGCGCGCAGGCGGUCUCUUAAGUCUGAUGUGAAAGCCCACGGCUCAACCGUGGAGGGUCAUUGGAAACUGGGAGACUUGAGUACAGAAGAGGAGAGUGGAAUUCCACGUGUAGCGGUGAAAUGCGUAGAUAUGUGGAGGAACACCAGUGGCGAAGGCGACUCUCUGGUCUGUAACUGACGCUGAGGCGCGAAAGCGUGGGGAGCAAACAGGAUUAGAUACCCUGGUAGUCCACGCCGUAAACGAUGAGUGCUAGGUGUUAGGGGUUUCGAUGCCCUUAGUGCCGAAGUUAACACAUUAAGCACUCCGCCUUUUUU